GAAAUGCGAUAAGUAAUGUGAAUUGCAGAAUUCAGUGAAUCAUCGAAUCUUUGAACGCACAUUGCGCCCGCCAGUAUUCUGGCGGGCAUGCCUGUUCGAGCGUCAUUUCAACCAUCAAGCGCCCGGCUUGUGUUGGGGACCUGCGGCUGCCCGCAGGCCCUGAAAAACAGUGGCGGGCUCGCUGUCACACCGAGCGUAGUAGCAUACAUUCUCGCUCAGGGCGUGCUGCGGGUUCCGGCCGUUAAACGACCUUCAUAACCCAAGGUUGACCUCGGAUCAGGUAGGAAGACCCGCUGAACUUAAGC
rnacentral:misc_RNA from 1 species